UGUUUUUGCCUUUUCUCUCUCUCUUCGCAACGACUCCGUCCGGAAAAGAAACUAGAUCCAGAAAAACUAAAUGAAAAUUGUGCAAAAUCGAACCUAAAAUUGAGUUUCUGAUUGUGCAAGAACAUGAACGAGAUCAAUUUAACAAAGAAAUCAAAAGAAAUAAAAUAAUCAAAACCUGAAAAAUUAGGGUUCACAAAUCGAUUUCUUAGCGAGUUUACUGUCUUGUUCAACAACAGAAGUUUGAAGAUUCAAAAUCAAAGGUAAACAACGAUAUGUGCGAGUAUAAAUUUAGUGCAUUUGUUUUAUUAAUAUUUCUUUUAUGAUUUGAUAAUGAUUUCAUCAGUUUGAGUCGGUAAAUAAGAAAGUUUGAUGUGAGGAGGUGGAGGUGGCGGUUGGAGAGAAGGAAAUGGUGGUGGUGAAAAUGAUGGAUAUGAUGGAAUUCACAAAUCCAAUAAGGUUUCCAAUCGUCGUUAAAUUGUUUUGGCAUGAGGUGAUGGUGAAUACCAAGGUGGGGGAGAUCAUGGCAGUGGACGUGGGCGGUGGAAGUGGCAUGGAUACAUGAUUGGAUUAGUGUACCCUAAUUCAAGGUACUUAAUUUCUCGUGAUGGUUGGGGUUUAAGCCCUCGUGGUGCAGGGUUCUUGUUUGGUGGAAACAUGGCUAAAUCAUGCAAACAAUUUGGAUUACAUUUUGAUGUGCUCAUCAGUUAGUGAUGGAAGGAUAUAAAUGGAUGUUUAACAACCAGAAAUAUAGUUCGCUCCAAAUUAUUGUUCUAGGUUUGUAAUUUUUUUUGUUUUGUCCAUCUAUUCCAUGUUAUUGGAAGAAAUACAUUUAUAUGGCUGCACUUAA